CCAUUGGUUCUUGCACUGUCCAAUUCCCUUUCCUAUAGUCCCUCAACAUAAUGUUACUACUUCCUCCACUAUCCAUGCAAAAAAAAAAAAAAAAACUUUAGGCAAAAAAAGGCAAAAAAGGAAAAAAAAAAAAAAGGUCUACUCCUUUGGCUUUUUGUGAAGGAAUUUUAAGUUGGUGCUUCAAGAAAAGGACAAGGUCAAAUGAAGGUUUUAUUUACAUGGUUCUAAGGUUUAAAUCAUGUGGAUGGUUUUGAAAUUUGCAAAUGGGAAUGAUGAGAAGCAAGUAGUAGUAAAAGUGAAGUGGUAGCUGCAGCAUCAAACAGGCCAAGACCACAUUCCUCAUCCAAAUGUUGAAACCCACCGCGAUGCUAAUCAUGUUGCUCAACCUGGAUUUUGCUUAUGGAUUUCAGUUCUAAUUUUGUUAGCAAUGAACUUGUUUUUCUGGAACUGUGGAUUUUGCAUCAGUUUAUCAGAUUUUAGGUCUUAUAUUUGGACAAAUAGAAAUUGUUCCGUUAAUAAUUCUCCAAAUGGGAGCUAUGUUGCUUGUUUUUGAACCUAUUAUUCUAGUUAUUUGAGGUUUUUUGCCACUGUGCCUUUUAUUGAGUAGUACAGAUUUUUUGUCUUGUGAUCAGAUGGCUAUUGUAAUUGAAUGAGCUAUAUAUUUUGCCAAAGUUGUUUUUCUAUUUAA